UGCAUAGGUGUUUGGCUACUAUAGUUUGGUAUCGCGAUCACAGCAUCGGAAGUGCCAUCCCCCUUCAUGCUGCGGAUUCCCGACGUGGAUAGUAAGCAAUCACGGUAGUACCGGUGCAUCACGUCGCAACGAGAUAUCCCGUGACCCAAGUAGGAUGGCGCUAUAUGCUCGGUUCUAUGUGAGAACGGCAAGCGGAAAAACAGCGCCGGAUUUUGAUAGCUAUUUUCUAGCGCUAUAAAGCGAAGCGCUGUAUGUGUAAACUAUGUCUAUGUGUAAAAGUCUAUGUAGACAUAUUCAAUCAGUGUAGAUACCGCACGUGCCGCGAGGUAGCAUUGCGGAUAUAAUUAACGACCACACUGUUAAAAAAGACCGUAAAUUUACGGAACGCCGCCCACGGAACCAGAGCUUCUCUUUUUCAUUGCUGCUCCAAUUCCGUAGCGGCACAUGAACCGUUGCUAUCCCGUCGUCUUUUCCAGGAAUGAGUAGAGCAAUAUCGCUGAAAAUGAAAUAUUUUGUUCAGACCACGUCACGAUUAUACUAGCAGAAAUAUGGAAGACGAUACAUGUCUUCAGCGAAGCACAUAUUUACCGUUUUUAAACGAUCCAACAGUGAUAUCGCAAUAUUCGGGCCUAACUUUUUGCUCGGAUGAAUGUGGCAGGCUCAAGGACGCCGGCGUCUCGCCGUCAGCGAGUGCACAGCGCGGAGCAAUACAGCAUUGUCACCUAAGUCGCUAACUGGAAGCCCGCGAAAUUCUUUCCUCGUAGACGCAUGAGACGCUCCGUGAAGUUUUAAGUGUUUGGAAGUCCAUUUAGUGUUUGGUCUUUGGCCGACUGUACCCCCGCAAAGCAAAGGUGAGUUCAAAACCUGUUUCGUUGUUCCACCACUAUAUCAAGUCAAAUACGAGCACCACUUGUAAGCAUGGUUGCAAAAAUUGUUUCGUUGCAUAGCGUCUCAGCAACGGUGUGCAACAGCAGGAAAGCAGUGUCUGUGUGUGUCACUGUGUGUAGAUCAUGAGUAGAAACGUAAAGAGUUGCCUAACGUUCAGUCGUGCAGGGGGAGGCUACUGAAAUAAUUUGUGUUUUGCUGUGAUCUCGCACAAAAAAUUGAUAAAUGUUGUGACUCUAUUUCCCCCCCUUGGAGCUGGAGUAAACGGAAUUCCUCUGUUGUGGAAUGUUCAGCUGAAAGUGUCCCAAUCUCCAAAGUGGAUAUCAUUCCGAUAUGGCCUGUUAUACUUUCCAUUGAAAUCUGUUGCAUUUGCACUAUAGGAAGGCCUCCUGUUUGCAAAAUUCCGAUCCUCUACAGUUUGCAAUUCAUCAAAGAGGUCACAUUUCACAGUCUUUCCAAACAAAUGUACCUUUCACUAGUCUUAAAAUUUUCACCAGUAACGGUUUCAUGCUCGCACAGCUGAAGGCGGUUUAUAAAUGGAUCCCUUUUUUUGCACUUUCUUGGUAGGUGAUAUACGGGUGCACUUUGUUGCUGCAGACAUUUUCUUCUCGUCGAGCUCUUUUCGACCAUCUGCUGUCACAUGAAGAUUUUGCAAGUGGUGUUCCUUGUACCAUAGAGGGACGUAAUGCUGCUUCCAAGAACUAUAGAACCAAUUCCUCCAUGAGUCAUCCUGACUAAAUGCCAACACAUUCAACACAAAAAGUAUUGUCUUGAUAGUUUUGUUCUGUGGCUUCUUGCAGUCAGCCGUGUGGACAGUGAAGAAGCAGAUAUUGCACGCUGAAAACAUCACCUCAUCACAGAUGCAUCGUGCACUGACACUAUCUUGUGGUCUCCAGAGACGAGUACAACCUGCGCUAUGGGAAACCGGUACACAUCUUUGUGGAAACUGGCCCUGAGACGUUUCUGAAGAUCAGGAGUAUAGAUCACAAAACAAAAAAACUUUGUGUCAGUAACAUGUCUUGAGGAGCUAAUCAGAGUUGCUGUGGGUCCUGGAAUUUGUCAGGAGGGCAACGUACAAGUGUAUUUAAUGGAUGAGUUAUCAGUUCGCUCUAUGGUUGCUGGUGCUGAGAAAUGCCUCGAUGACAUUUUCAUUGUUAAAAAUGUACUAUGGAAACAAGAUCAGUCAACAUGUGUGAGUGCACCUUCACCAAUCCCACAAAUGCCUCUGCUCUCACAAAUUUAUUACCCUUGGGAGAGCCUCAGCAAGACAGUACUUGAUGCAUUGGAAGCAGACAAUCUGCUUCCCUCUUAACGACAGGAAGUGGCACACAUGGCAGCGUCAUGGCCCUGCAUAUCCAUUGAAGGUGGAAGGCACUCCUGAUAUUUAUUCACAGGCACCUGGUUGGUAUCAUUGAGAACGAAGGGAGCCAGCAGGCAUAAAAAAAUCAAGAGGGCUACAUACAUAAAUGCGUGAGGCAAUGAGGGCCGCAGAUGAAUAUAGCAAGAAGUGGGAACAUCUCGUGUGAUACAUACCGGUCAAAUGUUCCGCCAUCAAAGUCACGCACAAGUUAUUUGUAGUAUUUUCAGUAAUUUCCAAAAUAAAG